CCAAGGACUAUCCACAGCAGGCACUGGCUUCCACCUGCUGCGUCCCGCCCAGCCCUCCGAAGCUGCAGACCCUAGCACAGAUGCCAGCCUGAAUGACAGUGGUCACCAUCAGGGCUCCCGCACUGCUGUGAGCUGAGAAGACUGAAGAAGCCGGAUCCCAGUGCACUCGCCCCACGUGUGCUCUGAUAGCUUUCCACGUGGAGCUGCUCAAACAAAUGCCCCAGGGCCCACUUGCUGAUGCUCCUACAGGCCAGCUGUGGGACUGGAGUUCUAGCAGGUGAAGCUCUACGCUCCUCAUCCCAGAAGACACGUGGCCCCAGUGCCACAAGGACGACAGUGGACAUGUUGUGUUGGGGAAACUCCUGUGCUGAAAACAUCUGUGUCCGGAAGUGAGGCUGACUUGCUGUUUAAUGUUUUUCAUCAGGAAAUGGAGAUGGAUUUAACUCAUUGUGUCCGAAAUGAGGCAAAGCCUGCACUCCAGGCAGAGCAAGUGAUCCCUAAAGAAGCGGGUGCCAGUCCCCACAGCAAGAGCUGCUGGAAGAGGAGCCACACCACGGGAGGCAUGAGCACAGGGGUGACAACAGCAGGUCUGCUCAGGAGAGCGCAGGGGCAGCAAAAAACAGGAUCCACCUGGAAGAAGAGGUGGGCCACGCUGGGCACAUGCGGCUGAAUAUCCUCUUUUGCUCAGGCGCGCAGGCCCCAGGACUGCAGAACAUCACACCAUCAGCUGUGCUUGCUCAGAUGCGCCUCCAGUAUGGAUGGAAAAUUCUCUCACCGAAACAGCAAGCUCCAAACUCUCAAGAUGCUAAACACAACUAUAAAUAUUUUCCCCAAAUCCUUCCAAAUGUUAGCAAGUCUGAAAACUGAGUCAUUUGUUUUGAGUACUUUGUUAAAACUUCACCCCAAAACAACUACAGGAGGGAGGUUUUACCAGA